rnacentral:rRNA from 1 species
AUUGAACGCUGGCGGCAGGCUUAACACAUGCAAGUCGAACGUGUGGCGGACGGGCGAGUAAUGUGUGUGAAUCCAGCUUAUGGAGGGGGAUAACUACGGGAAACUGUAGCUAAUACCGCGUACCAUCGGAUGAGCCCAAGCGGGUUGAGUUGGUUGGUGAGGUAAAGGCUCACCAAGCCGACGAUCUCUAGCUGGUCUGAGAGGAUGACCAGCGGCACUGGGACUGAGACACGGCCCAGACACCUACGGGAGGCAGCAGUGGGGAAUAUUGCGCAAUGGGGGCAACCUUGCGCAGCCAUGGCGGGUGAAUGAAUAAGGCAUUCGGGUUGAAAAGUUCUUUCGGUAGCGAGGCGUUAACUACAGAAGAAGCACCGGCUAACUCCGUGACAGCAGCCGCGGUAAUAC